GCCAGCUGCGGGGCUCCCCGCCCCGUAGGCGGGCGAGCGGGGUGUGGCCGCGUCCCAGUCGUGGUUGACAGCCCAGGCAGAGAUUUCUCCCGACUGAGGUUUAAGUUCACGUGUUGGGAACUCUGAGGAGCUGGCACAGACUGAGAGCAUCCUGGCAAGAUCUUCUCAGCUUCCCAGUGAAGUGAGCUGCCAUGGUGUGAGCUGCCCUAAGGAGAGGUCCACUUGGCAAGGAACUGAAGACAGCCCUAUCCUGCAGUCAUGGAAGAAUGGAGGCCCUCAGUUCACCAGUCUAUGAGGAACUGAGUCCUGUCAACAAUCAUGGGAUUGAACUUGGAAGUGCACCCUUCUAUAGUUGAGGCCUGAGGUGACUGCAGCCUCGAUGAUCCCUUCAUUGCAGGCUUGUCAGAGACUCUGAGUGGAGGACUGUGACUGGAUUCUUGGCCCACAGCAACUGUGAGAUAAGAAAUGAUGUUAUUAACAAAAAAGAGAAAUGAUGCUAUUUGAAGCUGCUAGGUUUUGGAAUAAUUUGUUAUGCAACCAAACAUAGUUAAUGCUGCAUGGUGUGGCAAUGGCUGUUUUCUUCCAUGACUACAGCUCAUAUUUGGUGGCCU